GAGACAGAACCUCUGAGAGCUGAGUAUGGACCUGCUCUUGACUAGAGAAGAAGUGUGUUUGUUCUGCAGCUCGCAGGCCAGCCCGGCAGGUGUGUGUCGUCAGAGCCAGGUUUGACCAGUCAAAGCUGCUGGAUGAAAGACCUUAACUUCAGAAAACUCAGCUAAAAGAAUUUGACAUUAUAUCUAUAGUCUGGUUUAUUUCAAAAAAGAAGUAUGGGAGGAUGGCAUUCCUACCAGAAGCAGAGAAGGUCACCUGAAUAAAGUGAUCUGGUUUCUGCCAAUUCCAGAGAGAAGAGGCUAAGGAGAAGGUGGAUCUCCAGGCCCUGAGACAAAGGGUCGAGUCCGGACAACGUUUUAGAAAGAACCGCCCUACAGACAACUGGGGACACCCCACCAUGGGGGAAGGAUGGUGGGGAAUGUUUCCUAUAAUGCAGAGUCUCUCUAGGACCACUGGCCCUGCCUAGACCAGACACGCUUCCCAGGCGCAGACUGACUGCCCCUUUACCAGUGAAGGACUCGUUCUCCAAAAUUCAGUUCAUGAAGACUUUCUUUGUCCCUGUGUUUGUUGGCCCCUUGAGAAGGUGCAGUUUAGUUUUAAUGAUUUCAAAUAACAUUUCGUCGUGGGAUACUAAAAGGCCUGCUGUGUGUGUGUAUGUGUAUGGUAAUAAAACCUUGUAAUAUGAGCUUCACUCUAAGUCACAGUGGCUAAAUCUUCAUUAAGACUAAGUUGUUCUUUGGGUUUUUAUAUCAGUGAGGUGAAAUUAUGCAGGUAUCGUCUAAUUUAUGAUUUGAUUUUUUGAGCAUUGUUAUUUAUCUCAAGUUCAAAACAAAAUAUAUUUCUGAAGAGAACACGGAGACUUUGUCCUCUGCAUAGUAAUUUAAGCUCUAGUGUUCGGUUUUUACAGGACUUCAGUAGGUCACUUCACUUUCUGUCUCAGUUUCCCAAGGAUGCCAAAUAGGGAGAGUCAUUUCCUGGUGAGAGAAUUAAUUAACAUUUGUAAAGAAUUCUAAGAUCUCCUUAUGAAAGAACUCUUCACGAGGGAAAAUCUUGUGCCUUACGAGAUAAAAGAGCAAAGACUGUAGAUUUCAAACACUGUGAAAGUUAUUACAGAAUAAAAAAAAUACCAGAGGGAUAUAAUUAUCUUUAGAAAGACAUUUUACCAGGCAGACUAUAGUACAGUGAGGAAAGAUAUAUUAAAAGGGAGUUUGAUGAAGACUUCAGGGAAUUAGGCACCAUGUUAUUGGCAUGAUGACUUAGACUCCUAUUGUAAAAAUUCUACAUCAGAUAUGAUCUAGGAGAUGGAAUGAAAUGAGAUCAACUCAAUUGAAACUUAAAGCGAAGGAUUCUAGUCAUCCCACAAACUCUUUCAUGAUCCCUGUUUACUUCGAACCUCUAAUACUUCUUCUACAUGCUAUUAUCCAUGCUUCAUUAUUGAUUCAGAUAUUUCCCUCUUUUUUUGUAGACCUGAAGAGCCAGGUAAUUGAGUAAUGCAGGUAGAAUUCAUCUGUCCCUUCCUCUCUCACUCCCUGCCUCCCUGUCUUUGGUUAGGGGGGAGAGGGGUAAAGGGUGGUAGAUGUGUAAGAGGAACAUCGCAUAUAUAUGGUUGUCAAUGUAACUUCAAUUUAAAUGAAACUUCUGUCCCUUCUCUUUGUGCCUGAGAGUUCUCACUUGCAAAAAAUAUCUUGGUGUUUUUAUUAAUACACCUUCCAUUUUAUGCGGAAAGCAUCAAAUUUUACAAAGCUUUGGGAAAUAAAUAUUCAUUUUGUCAAGGGUAAAAUAACUGAAACCAAAAGGUUCUUUCUAAAAAGGACCUUAGGAGUUAGGGUCCUAGAUGAUAAUUCCAGCUUCGAUGGUAAUUUUCUUCCUGAUGACCACCAUCCUCUGCAUAGAGAAUUGCACGGUGAGUCAAUGGGGAGACUUGGUUUGAUGGGACUAGGAAGUCCUACAAGUACUUUAGGUUUUGCAUUGUUUUCCAGUAGUGUUGAUCAUUUUUAACCAUAGGAUACUAAGAAUUCUCAAAUCACAAGUCACUUGAAUGAGAAAGAAAAGUUUCUCUGGAAUAAAUCCCAGAUGAUGAUUACCAUUUUAGACAUUUGAACUCAUGGCCAAUUUAAGAGGCAAGCUCAGACUGAAGAGUCAGUGUGACAAUGUAAGUGGAAGUUUGUACUGCAGUGUUGGGUACAUAAUAAGAGCUUAAAACAUCCCAGAUGAACCUUUUGCAUGGAAGAAAAAUGUGUUGAGAACAGUGACGGAUAUUGCUACUAUGGGAUAUGGACAAAUCCUGAAAGAUUUUCGUAUACAAUCUGGAUAUAAAUUCAGGCUACUAGAGUCGGAUGUUGUUAUGGUCUGAAUGUUUGUGUCCCCUCCCCCAAAUGCACUUGUUGAAACCCUACCCCCAAAGUGACAGUAUUUGGAGUUGGGGCCUUUGAGUGGUGACUAGGCCAUGAGGGUAGAGCCUCUCUGCUCUCUCUGGGCCAUGUGAGGACGUCAGGAGAAAGCAGCUGCCUCCAAGCCACAAAGCAGACCCUCAUCAAAUAUUGGUUCUGUUGGCACCUCCAUCUUAGACUGUCAGCCAUCAGAACUGUGAGAAAUAAAUGUCUAAGUCACCCAGUCUAUGGUAUUUUUGUCAUGGCAGCCUGAACUAAGAUGUGAACCACAAUUAUUUUAUUCAGGCUUGUUAAAAUAUAACAUGUCACUUUUUUUUUUUGCAGACUAACUAUUGUACCCUGUUUCUAUCUCUAAGCAUUUAGAAGCUAUUUCAGUUUUUAAUCUGCUCCUAAAUUCUAAUUAAUCAUUAACUUCUCCCAAGAAGUUAGAAUUGGGAUGAAGCAUGUUUAAAUGGCCUAUAAUUGCUUUAUCUUUCCCAUGAAUUAAAAUAUAAAUGUUUCUUUUCUCCAAAAGGAAAAGAGGAAAAAAUAUAAUUAAUACCUAGCUGAUUUGAUACUAUUUGAAAAUCAAUUGAGAAAUUGAAAUGAUAGAUAAUCAUAGUGUACAGCUAAGAUGUUGCAUUUAACAUUUAUAUUUUUAGAAAAUUACAUUUAAAUAUGGUAGUAAUUAUCAUAGCAUGGAGGAGACAUUCUAGAAAAAAAUUAUUUUGCUUUUGCCCCUGAGGACUGGGGGAAAAACUGAUGUUAGGAAGAUCACCCUCAUUAUGGAAAUACAUUUUGCCAAGGAAAUACUAAGAAUUUGUACAGAGAAGAGUGGCUGGAGGUACAAUGAUUAUGGAGUUCAACUGGUUACAUAAACACUGCAUUUACUCCCCAUUUCAGCAUCUCUGAUAACUCCCACUUAUAAUCUUAAAAAUUAUUAAUACAUGUAAUGGUCAGUUUGCAACUCAAUGUGUAAAACUAUUUUGUAGUAGUCCCUCUAUAUUUUCCCAUUUUGAUUAAAAUCUUGUCUAUAUCAAGAAUUAACUAUGAGAUUUAGGCUCCUUCGAAACACUCUUGUUAUUUCAUCUGUAAAAUAACAGGAUUAAAUUAGAUCAGUGUGUUCUCAAACUUUAAUGUGCAUUUGAAUGGGCAGGAGGUUUCUGGGGUGGGUCUGAGAGUCUACUCAGUCUACACAGUUCAAAAGUGAUGCUGGUACAAGGACAACGUCCUGGGCAGUGAUGAUAAUGUAUAUGUUUCCUUUCGUCUCUGCAAGAUAUUUAUUGCCUCUCGCAUGCCCCCAACCGGGCUCCCAACCCAGGCAUGUGCCCUGCCCCCUGACUAGGAAUCUAACCAGCGACCUUUCCAUUUGCAGGCCAGUGCUCAAUCCAUUGAGCCACACAAGCCAGGGCUCAUGUCUGUAAGAUAUUUCUUUAGGCGACCCAAGAAUUCCUGCUUUUGUUGUUACACUGCUUGAAUUAUGUCAGUAUAGGUUUUCCUUCUAAUUAUUUAUAGCAUCUCUUUGAAGUCUCUCUGAGAUGCUGGAUGCAGUCAAGUUUUAAUAAUAACUACAGGCUGGGAAAAGACUAAAUUCACUCCUCUAAGUUUAAGACCUCAGACUCUUUGAGGUCUAUUGAUACAAUGACCUCACUCUCCAGUCACCUCCCCUUUUAUACUUUUUAAUGUUCUUUGAAUACUCUAUUAACACCUCAUGAAAUGACAAUUAUUCACUAUGCUUCCUUUCAUUUGCUUGGACCAUGGACAUCGCCUGCAAACUCCCAGACAGUUUUCAGGUGAGGCAAUGAGGUCUACAUGUCAGACUGCAGGCUUAAGAUUCAGAGUUCUCAACCCUGGCACUGAAGUCGAAAUACGUAUGCCUAGGCGUAACACCACGCAACAACAUUUAAGUGCCUUAUCGAAGCAUUGGGUUUAUUUCUGGCUAUCUGCUAUAAAAUACUCGAAGAGGCUUAGUUGAAAAGUACUGGCUUACUAAUGUAAGUGACCGCAUCCCCACCCCAAGCCCAUAGGACAAUCUUGGGUGAGUUUCUUAUUCUUCCUGGGCCUUGUUUUCCUUAUCUGUAAAGUAGAGGAGAAUUUUCAUAAGACUGUUAAGAAGAUUAAGUGAGUAUUUACCAACACUGUCCCUCAAGAUCAAACUGUUAAAUCUUAUUUCAGACUACUUGUAUUCAUGCAUUUCUUAAGUAAAUAUGUAUUUCCUGCUUGUUGUAAACAAACUAUUAUUUAGCAGUCAUGAGAAUCACUGGUAUUCAUAAAGACUUACAAUUUAUAAAAUCUUGGUAAAUUAUAGAUAUUAUACUUAAACAUUAAUUAAUUAAUUUUAUUGUGUAUCAGCGCUGUGGAAGACACGGAAAUUGCAUGACACCAAUUUUGCCCUCAAAACAUAUAGUGUACUGGGAGAAGAAGACAUGUCCUUAAGUAAAUGUCUUCUAACAAGGAAGGCUUACUACUUACCACAGAGUUGGGAAAUAAUGUUCAGUAGUUCCUGUCUACUUCUCUAUUGCAAAGCAAAGAAGAUCUAAGUAGCUGUAUUACUAUUCCUGCUUCAGUUCCUGCAUUUCAUUGAAGUCCCAAAGACUUAAUUUUAAUCUUCAUGAAGUUAUUUUUUUUCAAGAUAGAACAGGUGGUGUUGUGUCUCUGAUCAUGAAAACAAUCUAUGAAAAAGCACGAACCCUUGGGAAAAUUAGGUGAGAGUUAUCUGUCAUCCGGGAGGGGACAUGAGGGGGAGGGAGCCUUAACUUUUAUUGCUUACUCUUUUGUACCCUUUAAAUUUUGUACCAUGUGCAAAUAUUAUCUUUUAAAAAUGUGUAUUUUUCUAAAUUAAUAGAUGCAUGUUGAAAUAUAUAUUAUAUGAUGUAUAAAGUUAUAAAACAGAAAAUAAAACUAGUGAUAAUGCCACCAUGAACUUACCAUUUUGAUAUCUCUGUUUCCAGAUUCCUCCAGGCAUAGAUACAUACAUGCAUUUUUAAAUAAAAAUGAGAUCAUAGAAUAUAUUAUAUUUUAAAAUAUUUAAAAAAUACUUUCUGUGCCAAGACUAUAAACCCACAACAUAACUUUUAAAGUCUGUGUUACAUUUUACUGUAUGUGUAAACCUCACGUAGUGUAUGUGUAAUCGCCCUCCAUGGGGCAGUAUUUUCAAGAACUUUGUGGUGGACAUAUUUGUACAUUAUAUUUGUGUAAUCAUCUUUUUUUCUUAGAAUUUGCCGUUAGAACUUCAAUUGCUGGACAAAAGAUCUGCAUGUAAAAUUGAGAUUUGAAGGAAACUGAGCAUGAAUAUAGAAAUGAUCCAUUUCUGCCCAGUUCCCCAGCUCCAUGGGAGAGAGGUGCGCUGUGGUUUAUGUGCAGGAGCAGAAGGAAUAGGAUCCUUAUUGCUUUCCCAGGGCCAGGAGAGGUAGGGACUGUUUAUCUUCAGCACCAAAGGCCCUCAGAAAUGUGUGCCCUCAGUCUGUCCAAGAAAUACCUGAUGGAGCCCCACGAAGCAAGGGAAGUGAACUGAGUGGACAAACCGGAAAGGGAGGUGGGAGCGGGAGGCAAAAGGCUUGUGUGAGAAUUUCAGAUGUGACACCACUGGCAAGUUGCAAGCAGGGAACGGGGCGACUUGAUUUGCUCUUUAAGAGCUCACCUGGAAGCCAGGCGAGCCCAGUGGUGUGGGCCAGGAAGGGAGGGAGGAGAUGGUCAAAUACAGAACAUAUUUUGAAGGUGGGGUCAAAGCAUUCUGCUGUAUGUUUACUGAAACAAAUGUAAAAUGUACUCAGCAAAAUAUGAAAGUGUCAGAAACUGUUACUAAACUGUAGUUGUCAGUGACGUGAUCAUUUAUCAAUAUGCUGAUUGAUUUUUUUAAAAAUCCAUCUACCUUUAGUGAUGGAUAAUAAAAUAAUGUGGUAUGAUAAAAUACAAUGAAUAAAUAGAGCAGAAAAUUGGAAGCAGAUGGGUCAAGGGAUGGCCAGUCAUGGCAAUGGCACCUCCUCCAGGCCUGUGACGCCGAAGGUGGGUCAUUUCAUUUUCUCCUGGCUGCUGCCUGGUUCCUGGUGCGCCUACUGCGGUAAAGGAGGCCCAACGCAGAGCAGAGUGUUAGCCCAGGAUCGGAGCAAAGAAAUGGGGGCGGUGCACCAUUCUUAUAGCCUCAAAAGAACUAGAGGGAAGUGACAUUAUAAAGCAUUCCUUAUAACCACUGGUUAUAAGUCUGCCAGGCCCACAACUGAUUAUAUGAGGCACAUUCACAUUAUGGAGGAUAAUUUUACUUAAUACCCACUAAUUUAAAUGUUAAUCUCAUCGAAAACACCCAUUCACAGAAACAUCCAGAAUAAUGUUCUAUCGACUAUCUGGGCACCAUGGCCACAACAAGCUGACACCUAAAAUUAACCAUCAUAGCCUCCAUUCUCAACCUCCAUACCCUCACACUUUUGCAAAAGAGAGACGUUGAGGGGUGUAGAGGUAUCAGUGCCGGUGCCAUUUAUUUGCCCCCUGAUUGCACCCCUAAGCUGGUGGUCUAACAAUAUGCUUCUUUUCUAAGUGAAUAAAUGAGUGUUGUACUUCUCCCAUGAUGAACUGUGAAACUUAACUCUCCUCCUUCUCUCCACCAUGACUGCAUGUGACUUUUUUACCUUUCAAAUGUCCUGGCCUAGGGCCAUGGCACUGAAUGUCAGGUGAAAGGUAAAGAAUGCCACCAUAAAUGAAAUAUACCAGUAAAUGACAGUUUACCUCUCACUGCCUCCUUUAGGAAAAACACAGAAACCCAUUCCAUGUUUUUCAUGGGUAGGAAAGUCCAUGCCUCUGAACUAUUUGCUGUUGUGCGGAACGCCAGGAAAGGUGGCACUGAGAUGAAAGAAACUGGCAACGCUAGAAAGUCCUCUCCCAAGGGCCCAGGACUGAGGCUCAAGACAGAAUAACACUACCAUUACUGAUGGCUCAAGUUUGCAUCAUUCUGCCCUGACCCCUGUGGCUCAGUGGGUUGGGCAUUGACCUGUAAACCACAAGUUCACUGGUUGGAUUCCCCAUUUCCCCAUGGGGGCUCAUGCCUGGGUUGUAGACUUGGGGGCGUGUGAGAGGCAACCAAUCUAUGUUUCUCUCACACAUUGAUGUUUCUCUCCCUCUCCUCCCUCCCUUUCUCCCUCUCUAAAAGUAAAUAAAUAAAAUCCUUAAAAUUGUUUUUGCAUCUUUCUCUGGUGAAGUGCUUCAGCAGCUUGCUUGUGAUUAAGAUGUUAAGAUCUUUAGUCAAAGUUCUAGGGUUCUCUAGUUUAAGUCAUAUUAUCAAUAGCUUUUAAAAAGUGCAGUCUACAUAGCAGGCCCCAGCACCCCCAAAUUGUUGUAUCACUAGCAUUCAGUUUUGAAAAAUAGCUUUUAAUUAAAAGCAUUAGUGGUCCAUUUCUGGGGCUUCUGCCCAACACAAUGUGUCCUCCUGUUCCAGAACAACAAAGCACAAAGGACAUAAACCCAAAGAGUGGAUCUGAGGAGCAUAUCAGUCCCUCAGAAUCUAUGCAAACAGUCUUUGCUUCCAACAAACCAAAAUUCUUAUUGUCCCUUUUCUUCUAAGAUGCUAAAAAGCUAGAAAUGACUUUUGAUCUUUCCAAAAGUGUAUGUAGGAUGAUAUCGCAUUUAUUGUAAAGAGGGGAGGGCCCAUCACUACACAGUACAUUCAGGUCAGUCCAAAGCCAAGACCAAAUUCCACAAACAUUUGCUGAGCGCCUUCUGUGUAUAAAUUGUCAUAUUUGGGUUUUGAUCUUUAAACAUAUA